ACGUAACAUGAGUUUACUGAAGGAAAGAAAGAAGAAAAAGCACUUAUGGAAAAGCGCUUACCACGUACAAUCUUUCUUCUUCCGCUUCACUUUGGACUUCUUCCUCCUCUGCGUGUGGUUGUUGUUGCGAGAAUCAAAGUCAAUGGUGACUGGACACGUCGGAUCCGUAUGUUGAUGCACCGCGUUGCUAUGGCUUCGUACGAUCUUUAGAUCAUCGGCGCGAAGUUGUUGUUUGUUGACGAUGAGUAGUCGUAGUCAUUGAGGAAGAUGAAGUGGAUUCUGGUGUUGAUUGGAUGAAGCAAACUCCGACGAUCGAAACCGAGUGAUGAACGAUGAUGCUCGCAACAGAGCGAAUGGCGACAAGGAUCGAAGUGAAGACGAUGACCGGAAGCGGUUCAAUUCUGGAAAGGUACUUUCAAGCUUUUUCGCUACUUUAUUCUGUUGCGAAUCACUUCUGUUACGAAGCUUCUUCCUCAAUUCUUUUGUGAAGCUUUUCAAGUAUUUCGAUUAUGUUAUCGAUAAGGUGAUUAUGAAGAGGGAUUGGAGUUUAUGGUGUUGAGUGUUACCAAUGGAAGGUUCAGCGUGUUGGUUCAAUGGAGGUUGAAGGUGGUUAACGGUUUUGUGAGUUUGUUACGGUUGUUGAAGGGAUUGAAGAGAGGCUUGGUUCAGUUGUUAGAGGUUGAAGAAGAUUAGGUGAUGGAGGAAGAAGAAGAAUCUGGAUCGUGAUUAUGAGUAUGGUUGAAGGUUUGUUACAGGUUGAAGAAGAAUCUGGAAAAGUUUGUUAGAAUUUUUUGGAGGUUUCUGUUGAAGGAUUGAGGGCAAAAGCGAUUUUGGAAUGAGAGGGAAAAUUUUUCUGAAACCAAUGAUUGGCAAUGAUUGCAGCUUAUAUAGCAGGAUCUAAGGGGCAAAUUGGAGAAUUAAAUCUGAAAAUGGUUCAAUCUGCACCAUCCAGCUGGCACUUAAAUGAAGGUCUGUGUUGGUAUGCUCGGAAAGCUCGCCCUGUCUCUGCAGGUUUCUCUUGGCUUUGGUUUUUCAACAGGUCCACUUCUGCAGGUAACUCUGAAGUUGCAGAGGGAUGCGUGGUUGAUAUGACUCAGCUCAAGUCGAAUGUUCCAACUCUAGCCAUUAUGCAUUUAUCUGAUAGAGUCUGAUGAAAGUGAAUCACGUUGUGUUAAUCUCCCUGAUGUCAACCGCGAAUUCCCUUCACUCUUAGCUGCUAAUUGAAAGUCUUUACAGGUUAUGCUUAAGAUAAUAAAACACGCGUAACUCAUCGAAGCGACAAACCCUUCCGGAUGACGACACUUCAUGACAGCUUAGAUGUGUAUCGCCCAAGGAAUGCUUAAUGUUGCUUGACCUUACUUAGGAGCGCGCGACACACCUUCUUCCGGCCUCGUGUUUGAACCAACGGGAAGCAAUUAGGAUUUAGGUAAAAUACGCGUUUGUGACUCGGGCCUUCCUUAACCAAGUGGAUUGUUGGCACUAUAUCCUGAGUUAAACCCGUUAUCGUACGAUCACAGCCGCUGCAUUACGCCUUGGAAGAACAAUAGGUUUUGAUAUUACGUCCAUAAUCCAUAUGCCCUGCUGGUUUGUAUCAGUGCUUUUGAUAACCCAAGAAUUUCCUGCUGCUAAGAAUGCCCUGUUGGAUUCAAAGGAUAAUUUCCACCAUGAAUGCUGGUAGAACUUCCAAAACCACAUCCCGACGGAAUAGCAGCAGACUGAGGCAAGCUGCUGACAAAAAUGUUAUUCUUAUAUUGUGGAAGCACUGCUGAAAUGCCGAUGGCAUGUAUGCGUAGCUCUGAGGCACGAAUGGAUAGUCAAUUACAUUAGCAAAAUGCCAUAAAGGAAGAGUAAGCUGGGAGUAGGGAUACACGGCAAGGUGUCGAGGAAAUGAAAGUCCAGUGGCAAUAUCAACACCAGGCGAAGCUUGUUGAUUGGGUCGAGCUUGAGGCGUCGAAAUGUUGUUUGCCCUUAAAGCCUCUGACAUGUUCAUAUCAGGACCACCAACUAAUGAAGCCAUGUUACUAUAUUUUGCAGGCAUUGAUUGCGUAACAGGGUUGGCUCCUGCUGGAUGCUACAGAUGUUGCCGGUAAAUUGAAUAUGCUGCUGGAUGUUGUGUUGGUCUGUUGUAAAUGCAGGUUGUUCAUGAUGGUGGUCGUGAGGCCCAUACAAGUCUGCAGCAGGUCAUGGUGGUAUGGAUGAGCAAACAUGGCUAAGUAAAGGGUUGGACCUGGCACGGCAUAACAGUGGAAUUUUUGAAGUCACAAAAGUCAAACCAAGGAUCAAAAUAGGGCUGAGACAUAGGGUUAGGAUCAGAGAUUAUGGACUUAGGAUUUUUUGGGAUGGGUUGACUUUGGUCAAAGUUGACCAAAAAGUCAACCGUUGACCAAAGUCAACCUUGGUCAACACCUCACAUUUUGUGUUUAUUUUGUUCUUUUUUUUUUUUGUAAUGAAUAUUUUAUCCUUUGUAAUGGAAAUUGAUAUUCAUGAAUGGAGUGAGCUUGGAUA